AGCAAAACUCAAACUCAAUACCAAAUUACCAAUCCAAACAAAAAAAAAAAAACAACAUUCUGAUAGAAAAGUUAAAGAAAGCAAUAGUUGUUCAGAAAUGGGCGAAAGAACACAAAAUCUUCGGCGCCCCUUGCAGAUAAGAUGAGGCGACAGUAAACAUACAAGUGAGUAUUUUCUUCAUCAAAGCUACAAUUCCUUCAUCUAAUCUUGUUCCAGAGUUUUUAUUCUUCUUUUUGGGUCUUCUCCUUCUUGCUUUUGUUUAUUCCGUCAUCGCUACCGCCAUUCUCAGCAUCUUUGCUCUUCUUCAUCUUUUUCUUUAGGUCAGAUUUCUCCUCAUCAGACGAACCAAGUUAAUCAUUCACCUUUAAUUUCCUUCUUAGCCUUCUCCCAUUUGAAGAUCUUCGUUAGCCUCUUUGUUCUUCUUCUUUUUCUUUUUCUUUUCUUUCUUCAAUCCAAUUCGUCUUUCACGGACACUGUUUACUCAUCUCCAUCAGCUUUCGCCCUCUUCACAACAUGUGGUGCAGGGCUACCAUCAACCUCCUCCAAUUUUCUUUUACGCCCCUCCUCACCAUCUUCCUUAUCCUUAUGCUUUUUCUUCUUUUUCUUUUCUCCCUCUACUAUGGUAACCUCUGCAACUGCCCAUACCGUUUUACUCACAGCAGCAAGGCCAGCAACCACAGAAUCCCCUUACCUGGGAAGAACAACCACAUUCCUUGACCACUCGGCUGGAUUGCUCUCAUUCGGCUUCCCAUGCUUAUCCAACUUUCUCCAAAAUCAGCUUCUUCUUAAUGGAAGCCCUCGGCCCCUACCCCCAUUACCUGUUCGAAUAACAGGGGAACAUAGCAGUCCACCAUAAGAAUCACCAUGAAACACCUCCAUCGAGGCUUUGAUUGUCCUCAAAAUCACAGAACUAUAAAAGCCUGCUGCAUAUUAAAGGGAAAAAAACAAAUCAAAAUGGGUUACCGAGCUAUCUUAUCCAGCUUCUGUUACAAUGUUUGAUGUUUUGCUGAUAGAUUCACGUACAAAAAAAGAAGAA